AUCAUGCCUGCCUGCUUCGUUCAUUAUUAUAUCACGAGCGCCUAGUAUUGUGCCCCACACAUGUGUGGCUUACCAGGAGAACUGCUCUGCUGCCCCAGCACCUGCAGCAUCUGGGGCGAGAGGAAGAAUGAGCAGGACUACAGGUGGGGAUGAGGCAGAUGGUGACUACGCAAUGAAAUCCUCACAAAUACAGCAAAAUGAGAAAAAGAAUCAAGAGGCAUAAACAUAAGGAAGUGAGCCAAUUCUAUGUCUGCCUGUGCUCAAACCUACUCCUGAAGUGCCUCAUGCUUUGCUCUAAAUCGUAAUUGUCCUGUUUGUUCCAUUUUUGGAUGACAUGAAGAAAUUCUACUCUCGAAUACUCACUGUGAUUUUCUUCUCUCUGGAAAGAAAGACAACUCCUGACCGCAAGUUUUUUCUACUAUGACUUAUUUGUAAUGUCUUGAAAAAACUGAUGGUAUCUUGGUUGCCCUUUGUCAACAUCCUUCAUCUACCUUUUGUAAAGGGCAAGUUUUGAAUUGAAAAAUUGGGUCUAAGUA